rnacentral:rRNA from 1 species
UGGGGAAUUUUGGACAAUGGGGGCAACCCUGAUCCAGCCAUUCCGCGUGAGUGAAGAAGGCCUUCGGGUUGUAAAGCUCUUUCAGCUGGAACGAAACGGUACGCUCUAACAUAGUGUGCUAAUGACGGUACCAGCAGAAGAAGCACCGGCUAACUACGUGCCAGCAGCCGCGGUAAUACGUAGGGUGCGAGCGUUAAUCGGAAUUACUGGGCGUAAAGCGUGCGCAGGCGGAUUGUUAAGCAAGACGUGAAAUCCCCGGGCUUAACCUGGGAAUGGCGUUUUGAACUGGCAGUCUAGAGUGUGUCAGAGGGGGGUAGAAUUCCACGUGUAGCAGUGAAAUGCGUAGAGAUGUGGAGGAAUACCAAUGGCGAAGGCAGCCCCCUGGGAUAACACUGACGCUCAUGUACGAAAGCGUGGG